GAAUGGAUUAAGAGCUUGCUCUUAUGAAGUUAGCGGCGGACGGGUGAGUAACACGUGGGUAACCUGCCCAUAAGACUGGGAUAACUCCGGGAAACCGGGGCUAAUACCGGAUAACAUUUUGAACUGCAUGGUUCGAAAUUGAAAGGCGGCUUCGGCUGUCACUUAUGGAUGGACCCGCGUCGCAUUAGCUAGUUGGUGAGGUAACGGCUCACCAAGGCAACGAUGCGUAGCCGACCUGAGAGGGUGAUCGGCCACACUGGGACUGAGACACGGCCCAGACUCCUACGGGAGGCAGCAGUAGGGAAUCUUCCGCAAUGGACGAAAGUCUGACGGAGCAACGCCGCGUGAGUGAUGAAGGCUUUCGGGUCGUAAAACUCUGUUGUUAGGGAAGAACAAGUGCUAGUUGAAUAAGCUGGCACCUUGACGGUACCUAACCAGAAAGCCACGGCUAACUACGUGCCAGCAGCCGCGGUAAUACGUAGGUGGCAAGCGUUAUCCGGAAUUAUUGGGCGUAAAGCGCGCGCAGGUGGUUUCUUAAGUCUGAUGUGAAAGCCCACGGCUCAACCGUGGAGGGUCAUUGGAAACUGGGAGACUUGAGUGCAGAAGAGGAAAGUGGAAUUCCAUGUGUAGCGGUGAAAUGCGUAGAGAUAUGGAGGAACACCAGUGGCGAAGG
rnacentral:rRNA from 2 species